UACGUAGGGGGCAAGCGUUGUCCGGAUUUAUUGGGCGUAAAGAGCGUGUAGGCGGCCAUACAGGUCAGCUGUGAAAACUCGAGGCUCAACCUCGAGACGUCGGUUGAAACCGUAUGGCUAGAGUCCGGAAGAGGAGAGUGGAAUUCCCGGUGUAGCGGUGAAAUGCGCAGAUAUCGGGAAGAACACCGGUGGCGAAGGCGGCGACCUGGUCCGAUACUGACGCUGAGGCGCGAAAGCGUGGGGAGCAAACAGG
rnacentral:rRNA from 1 species